ensembl:lncRNA
CCCAGCGCGAGGGGAAGGGGCGGGGGGCAUUCCCACAUCGGACGCGUCUCUCCCGGCGCUUAGACAAAAAACGGUUUUCGACGAAAACAAAAGCAAGCCGUUCCCCCUUCCCCAGCGACAAGCUUCCUUCGUGCUCGGAGCUGGUUCUGCUGGAGAACAGCCCCGGGAGGGCAUCGGGCCUACCGCUCCUGUGCGCGUGGAGAAGGCCUCCUCACGUGCUCUCCUUCUGCCGUGUUACGUGGGAGGACUCAAAGACCUGGUCGUUUUGUAUAGGAGAAGGCUGAAGAUUCACAUCCAAAGGCCAACAAGUAUGCCCAUCCCUUCCAGGCAGAAAUCUUCAGCAUGUGGUGACCUCAGCCCCACCCAAUGCCAGGGUGACACGGCCACAUGAAGGGCCUUGGCUGAGUGAUGUCUAUGCUUGCCAAAGCAAUGGUGGCUGAGCUGCAGGCAUUCGGAGAGACAAACGUUACUUCAGAUAACUUCAGUGACAGAACAGGGCAGAAGAGUGAUGGGUUCAGGAAAGGCUGCCCUGUGUGACACAGCUGAUGGCUGCACUCCUGCAGGGAUGGGACCCUGAUGCCAAAAUACCGUGACUAUACACGAGUGGGACACUGCCAGCAGCCAGCAUGAGGCACAGCUCAGCCAGACAC